GAGUACAUAGGAAAACUGUGAUUGUAAUAUUCUAAUAAUUGGAUAAUAUUCUAAAAGCUGUAUAACAUUUGCACUAAUUUCUGCCAAGUCAACAUUUAUACUAGAUAUUUUAAUUAAAUUAAAUUUUCUUUAUUGAUAUUAAACUGGAAUUCAUGAUUAUUAGUGAAUGUGAUGAAAGUUGACGUGUUCUGAGAGCA